rnacentral:rRNA from 1 species
GUCUUCUUGUUAUAUUUAGGAAGUCUGGCCUGCCCAGUGAAAUUAAUUUAACGGCCGCGGUAUACUGACCGUGCAAAGGUAGCAUAAUCAUUAGUCUUUUAAUAGAGGGCUGGUAUGAAGGGUUUAACGAGGUGUUGACUGUCUCAUUUAAUUUGAAUAUUAGAAUUUAAUUUUUUAGUUAAAAAGCUAAAAUACUAUUGGAAGACGAGAAGACCCUAUAGAGCUUUAUAUUUUUAUUAUUAAUUUAUUAUAGAUUAUUAUUAUUUAUUAUUAAUAAAAAGUAUUUUGUUGGGGUGACAAAAAUAUAUAAUCAACUUUUUUAUUUUAUUUACAUUGAUAUAUGAAUAUUAGAUCCAAUCUUAUUGAUUGUUAGAUUAAGUUACCUUAGGGAUAACAGCGUAAUCCCUCUCCAGAGUUCAUAUUUACAGAGGGGCUUGCGACCUCGAUGUUGGAUUAAGAUAAUAAUUAGGUGCAGCCGCUUAAUUAAUAGGUCUGUUCGACCUUUAAAUUCUU